CUAUGGGCAGCCCACUAGAUGUUGCCUCAUUUGGUGGAGACCCCAUGAACAAAUAUGGUCACAAUAUUUCCUUUCCCAACUAUAUAUACAUGUCACAAACACACAUAUUUCUAUCCAUGCAUAAUCACCAACAUCCAUUUUCAACAAACUAGGCUCAUAUAUCAAAUCAACUUGCAUUGCUCAGAUGGGUAAGAUGAUGAGGAUGAUUUUAUUGGUAAUUGUGUUGGUGGCGAUGAUGAGUGGCUGCCACAAGGUGGAAGGUGGCAGGGUGGCGGUGGCGGAGCAGCGGAAGCUGGCGGCGGCGGAGGAUGAAGGAAUGGAUAGUGGUUUGCAGGAUAACCAUCAUGCUUACUCCAUACCAGACUUCAACCGGCAAGGAGGAAGAGCUCCCACCAAAUACUGAUCACUUAUAUAUAAUAUUGCUCUUUCUCUCUCAUAUAUAUAUACAUAUAUAAAUGUGUCUGUGUGUGUGUGUUUGUGUGGCAAUAAGGUGCUCAAGAGAUCCAUCCAUCUGUUGUAUAAAAUGUAACGAAGGUUUGGUGUGA